rnacentral:tRNA from 1 species
ACCUGGGUGGCUCAGUCAGUUGAGCAUCUGACUUUGGCUCAGGUCAGGACCUCACUGUUGGUGGGUUCGAGCCCCACAUUAGGCU